UAAACACAAAUUAGGAACUCCCAAAGAACUUCAUGGCGGUCUGCAAGCCAGUCUUCCAGCUGCCAAGACCUAUGUUAUAGUGUUGGAAUUGCCAGAAAAAACACAACUGUUGUCCCAAGGAAUCUGCACAUCAUCUUUGAGACCGGAGGACCGCGGAAAUGGACUGAAGGGUUACUGGUCACAAGAGUGGGACCUGGGUCCUAUCUCUGGCCCAGGGUGGAGUCAUGACAUUCUGAGCUGCUGGAAAACCAGCUGUGUGAUUGCUGAUGACGUUCUGAGCUGCUGAGAAGCCAGCAGACACUUCCUGGUAAAGACUGAAAACAUUGCAGUCUCUUUCUUUCACGUUUCAUCCCAUGGGCCUGCCAAUCUCUGGGGUAGGAAGGCACUCUUCAGGAGGGCCACGUUCUAGAGAAGUGCCGUGAAGCCUGCCUGCAGAUAGAGCUGGGUACAGCUGUGUCUCCUUUCACUGCCCACCAGCCCUCCAGAGCUGCUUGUAGGGUCCCUGUGACCACUGUCCAUCUAGCCCUGCUGGAGUGCUUUCCCUGCAGCAAUCCCUGUGGCCUUUGACUCCUCUCCUCGAGAGGCAGCCUACUUUACCCUGUAAUGAACCCUGCCCGCUCACACACCUUGCUGCAUGCCCCUUUUGAAUUCAUUUGAUGGAGACCUCAGGGUGAGGAGCUGAGGGACGUCAGCGCUGGAUUUCAGUGGCAGCAGCAGGGAGAGCCUCCUGCUUGUGUCGCCAAAGAUGAGGAAGCAGAGCAGACAGGAAGUGGGCUUGGCUGUAAAAUCUUACAGUCUGUCUUUUUCUAGCUAGACUUUACCUCCUGAAGUUUCCGCAGCCUCCCCAAACACCACUGCCAUAUGUUCUAACACACGAGCCUGUGAGAACAUUGCACAUUUAACCAUGUCCGGAAUUAGUGUGGCCAUCUUGAAGGAAGCAGGGUAAGUCAGAGAGGAAUGAACCCAUGCCGGUCCCCAGGGGCCAUGUUGAGCCCGCACAGAUCGUGCAAACCUGGCUAGUUCUGUCAGCUUGACACAGAGAAAACGCCCCUAACAUCUGGCUGUAGGCAGGCCUGUAGAGCAAUUUCUUUAUUAGUGAUUGAUAUGGGAGGACCCAGCCCAUUGUGGCCUGUCCCAGCCUGGUGUCCUGAGUGCUAUAAAAAAGCAGACUGAGUAAGUCUAAGUCAUAAGGAGCAAGCCAGUAAGCAGUUGCCCCUAUGGCCUCUGCAUCAGCUCCUGCCUCCACGUGCUGCCCUGCUUGAGCUCCUCCCUGACUCCUCUGGUGAGGAACAAUGGUGUGGAAGUGUAAUCAGAAUAAACCCUCCCUCCCCAGUGCUUUGGUCACGAUGCUUCACCACAGUGAUGGUAACCCAAACAAGACAUCAGGGCUUUAGGCCAGCCCUUCUUGAAGCAGAUAAACGGAGCCAUUAAAUCCUUCUGAGCCAUCCAUGGAUGGAAACAUGAGCUGUGAUAGCCGAGGGUCACCCCGGGAAGUAUCGCAACCCGCUGCCAUCCUGGGAGCUGGGGUUGACUUUGCGGUUUUUAAAAGAGGCCUGGCAGCGCCCCGUCUCCAUUACUCCUGCGCUCAGGGUGAGUGGAGUGAUCCACAAGUGCCAUUCUACCCAGUGCUCAUGCAUCGUCAGCCAUAAGGAUCACAUUUGCUGCUACUGUCUGCUAGAUCGGUAUCUAUGGAACACUCGAUAUCAGAAGAAACCAGUGGAGUCUGCUGGGAAAGUGCAGAGAUAAAUAAGGAAGGACCACGCCCACACUGACAUAGGAUCCUGGAAGGACUUCUGCUAGUUGACAAAGACAGAGGGGUCACUUAGCGCCUGAUCUCAGCGGGACUGUCUUGGAGUUUUGAAUGCUGUGGUUGAAGCUAUGCCGUGAACAAUACUAAGGGAGAUUUUCUAUAAAGAAAGUCAUUUAUGGAGUA